UCAUCAUGUGUGCUAUCCCCUAGCACCGAGGCAGGUCAAAGUGGUGUCCGUCGUAUGAGCUCUCUGGCUUCCACUUGAUCUUGCCCAGCUCCACCUAUCGUUGGAUAGCUAACCUCUAGAACUAGGUCAGGUUGAAGUGAUGCCCAUCGCGCAAGCUCUCAAGCCCUCAACCCUAGAAAUCAAGCAGCACCCCCACGAACUUAAGCCCUUGGAAACUUGUCAACGCUCCACCCAUCGAAGGGCUAGGCUCCGGGUCAAAGCCGAUCUUGACGUGCAAGUUUAGUAACCUUGAAAUCUGUUCACACCACCCAAC
rnacentral:lncRNA from 1 species